UUAAGCUACAAAGAGCGUAGGGUGAAUAGCUAGGCACCAAGAGCCGAAGAAGGACGUGAUAAGCUGCGAAAAGCUUUGGGUAGGAGCAAAUAUCCAUUAAUCCAGAGAUAUCCGAAUGAGGGAACUCACUUAGAGCAAACAAUCUAAGUAUCCAUAUAUGAGUAAAGUAGUAUAUGAGAAGGGAACGUGGGGAACUGAAACAUCUUAGUACCCACAGGAAAAGAAAGAGAAAUCGAUUCCUAGAGUAGUGGCGAGCGAAAUAGGAAGAGCCUAAACCAUGAGUAGUAAUACACAUGGGGUUCGGACCACGAUAUAUUAUCAAUAAUUCUAAUAGAAAUGUUUUGGAAAAGCAUACCAUAGACGGUGAAAGUCCAGUAUAUGAAAGGAAAGUUGAGAUUAGUGGUAUCCAGAGUAGUACGAGACACGAGAAAUCUCGUAUGAAUAAGCGGGGACCAUCCCGUAAGGCUAAAUACUACUUGGUGACCGAUAGUGAACUAGUACCGUGAGGGAAAGGUGAAAAGAACCCCGGGAGGGGAGUGAAAUAGAACAUGAAACCCUAUGUUUACAAGCAGACAAAGCACUUUAUAUGUGCGAUGUCGUACUUUUUGUAGAACGGUCCAGCGAGUUAUUGUGUAUGGCGAGGUUAAGUAUUACGUAAGGUACGGAGCCGAAGCGAAAGCGAGUCUGAAAAGGGCGAUAUAAGUCAUGCAUAAUAGACCCGAAACUGAGUGACCUAUCCAUGAGCAGGAUGAAGCUAGAGUAAAAUCUAGUGGAGGUCCGAACUGAUUGUCGUUAAAAAGGCACCGGAUGACUUGUGGAUAGCGGAGAAAUUCCAAUCGAACUCAGAGAUAGCUGGUUCUCCUCGAAAUAGCUUUAGGGCUAGCCUUGAGGGAAUGCAUAUGGGGGUAGAGCACUGAAUGAGGUAGGGGCCUAACCAGGUUACCAAACUCUAUCAAACUCCGAAUACCAUAUGUAAAUACUCAGGAGUCAGACUGCGGGAGCUAAGUUCCGUGGUCAAAAGGAAAACAGUCCAGAUCGUCAAUUAAGGUCCCAAAGAUAUAGCUAAGUGGAAAACGAUGUGAUUUUGCAUAAACAACCAGGAUGUUGGCUCAGAAGCAGCCAUUCAUUCAAAGAGUGCGUAAUAGCUCACUGGUCGAGUGAAGUUGCGCGGAAAAUUACCGGGGCUAAGCUAUACACCGAAAUUGCGGAUUUACAUUUGAAAGAUAAUGUGAGUGGUAGAGGAGCAUUCUGUAGUAGGAAGAAGCAUGACCGUAAGGACAUGUGGACGAAGCAGAAGAGAGAAUGCUGGAAUAAGUAGCGAGAGGAUGGUGAGAAUCCAUCCCGUCGAAAAUCUAAGGUUUCCCAGGGAAGGUUCGUCCGCCUGGGGUAAGUCGGGACCUAAGGAGAGGCCGAAAGGCGUAUCUGAUGGAUAGCAGGUUGAAAUUCCUGCACUACGAAUAUACUUAAAAGAUUCAAGGGACGCAGAAGUGGAAGAUAACCAAGUAAGAGGAAAAGCUUGGCUCGCAAGAGGGAGUGAAAAUUAAAAGUAACGAAGUAUCAAGAAGCACGCUGACGAGAAAAGCUUGAAGACAUUGUAUAUAAGUACCCGUACCGCAAACCGACACAGGUAGAUAGGAAGAGGAUCCUAAGACGAGCGGGAGAAGCAUUGUUAAGGAACUCGGCAAAUUAACCCCGUAACUUCGGAAUAAGGGGUGCUGAUGUAACAGUCAGUCGCAGAGAAAAGGCCCAAGCAACUGUUUAACAAAAACAUAGGUUUCUGCUAAAUCGAAAGAUGAAGUAUAGGAGCUGACGCCUGCCCAGUGCUGGAAGGUUAAGGGAAAGAGUUAGGGUUAAACCGAAGCUUAGAACUGAAGCCCCAGUGAACGGCGGCCGUAACUAUAACGGUCCUAAGGUAGCGAAAUUCCUUGUCAGGUAAGUUCUGACCCGCACGAAAGGCGUAAUGAUUUGGGCGCUGUCUCGACAAUGUCCCCGGCGAAAUUGUAGUACUAGUGAAGAUGCUAGUUACCUGCGAUAAGACAGAAAGACCCCAUGGAGCUUUACUGCAGUUUGAUACUGGGUUUCGAUGAUUUAUGUACAGGAUAGUUGGGAGACUAUGAAAGAGAGGCGUCAGCUUCUCCGGAGUCGUUGUUGGGAUACCAACCUUAAGUUAUUGAAAUUCUAACUUGUAAUCGUAAACCGGUUAGAGGACAAUGUCAGGCGGGCAGUUUGACUGGGGCGGUCGCCUCCUAAAGAG
rnacentral:rRNA from 1 species